rnacentral:rRNA from 1 species
UGGGGGAAUAUUGCACAAUGGGCGCAAGCCUGAUGCAGCAACGCCGCGUGAGGGACGACGGCCUUCGGGUUGUAAACCUCUUUUAGUAGGGAAGAAGCGAAAGUGACGGUACCUGCAGAAAAAGCACCGGCUAACUACGUGCCAGCAGCCGCGGUAAUACGUAGGGUGCGAGCGUUGUCCGGAAUUAUUGGGCGUAAAGAGCUCGUAGGCGGUCUGUCGCGUCUGCUGUGAAAACCCGAGGCUCAACCUCGGGCCUGCAGUGGGUACGGGCAGACUAGAGUGCGGUAGGGGAGAAUGGAAUUCCUGGUGUAGCGGUGGAAUGCGCAGAUAUCAGGAGGAACACCGAUGGCGAAGGCAGUUCUCUGGGCCGCAACUGACGCUGAGGAGCGAAAGCGUGGGGAGCGAACAGGAUUAGAUACCCUGGUAGUCCACGCCGUAAACGUUGGGCGCUAGAUGUGGGGCACCAUUCCACGGGUUUCCGUGUCGCAGCUAACGCAUU